rnacentral:lncRNA from 1 species
CAGCAAGUCUGGAGUGGGACCCGAGACUGCUUUUCUUUUUUUUUUUUUUAAGAUUGGCACCUGGGCUAACAACUGUUGCCAAUCUUCUUUUUUUUAAAGGAUUGGCACCUGGGCUAACAACUGUUGCCAAUUUUUUUUUCUGCUUUAUCUCCCCAAACCCCCCCGUACACAGUUGUAUAUCUUAGUUGCAGGUGCUUCUAGUUGUGGGAUGUGGGAUGCCACCUCAACGUGGCCUGACCAGCAGUGCCAUGUCCGCGCCCAGGAUCCAAACCCUGGGCUGCUGCAGCGGAGCGCGCGAACUUAACCACUUGGCAACAGAGCCGGCCUCGAGACUCUGCUUUUCUAACAAGGCCUCCUCCCCAACCCCUCCACCUGAGGCUGGUGGACCACACUUUGACUACCAAGGCUGUCGGUCAUGGUGAGGAUGUGGAUUUAUUUUAAGGGCCAAGGGAAGCCCCUGGAGAGUUUGAAACAGGGCAGUGUUGUGAGCUGUCCUACCACAUGGAAGGGUCAUCCCUGCCGCUGUGUAAAGGACAAAGCCUUUGGUGGCAGGGAGGUGGUGGGCUACAGUGGAAGGGGAGGCCCAGUGUCUGCUGUGGCCCAGAGACGACAUAAAAGGAUUCCCCUGCUCUCUCCAAGCAGGAAUGUAUGCAGGGAAGCAAGCAUAGCACCUGUGCCCAGCAUAGGAGGCCAACAGUGCACAGGGGUCGUUGUUAUUAUCAAAUCUGGGAGUGGGCAGAGUGGGGAUGCUUGAGGGCUGAGGAAACGGUCCUCUUCCUGCUUGUCACCUUGUCUGCCUCCCAUGGGGGAUGCGCCUUUGUGUGCUGGAUCGAGAGCUUUCUCUCCUCGGCCACUGUAGGGCCCAGUUCCACGUGAUGGAGAAUGGCACACCCUCUGGGAAGACCCAGCAGCCAGGUUGAAGAGCGGGAGCAGAGAGUUUCCCAGAAUUCCACGAGGCUGCCUAGACCUGACCCAGAGCCUGGCACCAUGUGACCGGCAGCCCUUCCAAAAGUCCCAAAUGUUCCCUCGGCCUGUCACACCCCUUCUUUUGGGUGCUCAGAGUUCAAAGGGAAAGAAUUUUUCUUCCAAAGGAGUGGCUGUGAGGGUUUGAUAACAGACUCGUCUCUUCAGGCUCCCAGAUUCCCCCCAGGCCGGGUGAGUCAUGCUGCUAGAAAAUGACAAACACGGGUAAAUAAGAUAAUAGGAAUGACACAGGCUGGGCUCCAAGGCCGCUAGCAGGAAGGAGGCUGCAUUUAGAAGAGGAGGAUGAUUGUGAAUAAGGGAUCCACAAAAGAUUUUUUUUCUCUCAUCCUGGUUACAGACAGUAUUUCACAAGGUGUUUUUUUCCACCGGGAGCUGCCUGAGUCUGGCGGGCCCAGCAUUACUCAUGGCGGAGGGAGGUUGCAACCUGACUUCAAGGCCCGGGGAUGGAGGGAUGUGUGCAAACCUUCCUUCAAAAGUUGCAGGAAACAGCAGCACCCUCCCCAAGCCACAGCAGCUGGUUCUGCCGCAGAGGACUGAUCUCGGCCUCAUUUUCUCCCCAGAAUCCUCCAUCAAAACGAAUUUGGACACAACUAGAAGGACCCACAACUAAAAUAUACAACUAUGUAUUGGGGGGAUUUGGGGAGAAAAACCAGGGGAAAAAAGAAAAGAAGAUUGGCAACAGUUGUUAGCUCAGGUGCCAAU